GAUGUGAUAUUUUGUUUGAAUGUGUUUUUUUUUUUUGUUUUGCAAAAAGUUAGUCCUUCAGUGGAAAAAAUAAAAAAAAAAUCCCAAACCCAACUUCCCAAACAUCACCUUAGUAAAUUUUGAAUUCAGAGAUAAACAAAUUUUUAGCCUAUGUCUUGUCUAUAAAUAACUAUGGUGAGAUGCAGUGCUAAGCUACAGGCUUUUUAUCCUUCAAUUGGCUUCUUCUGUCUGGGAGAUCUCCCAGUUCACAAACAACCUUGUAGGAUGUUCUUAUUUUUCUACUUCAUUUCCUUAUUAAUGUUCUGUUGCAAUUGCUUCAAACAUCCUGCUGAGCAACUUCCAAAUGACUGUUGUGCUCUGGAUUACAUAGGCUAUAUAUUGAAUCUGGCUAUCAAUUAGGCAGGAAGUCCUGAUUCUACGAGUGUUUUAAUGAAAGCUUGUCAUUUGCUUCUUCUUCAGGGAUUGUAAACUACUUUAACUGCUUAACCUACAGACCACUGUCACCUGUUGAUUUAAACUAAAGAAUGACUCAAUAACAUUUAAAAGACAACUAAUACUAUCAGGCCGCAUUUUAUUAUUCUCUUCAAAGGAAAUCCCAGGAAGGAAUUCAUAUAGAAUGGGUAAGGAUCACCGCCGGAAUCGAGUGUCAAAUGCAUAUUUCUCACUGUCUAUGGCUGUUGGUAACGUGCUUGGCUUUGCCACUGGAUCAUACGGUGGCUGGUUCAAGAUUUUUCCAUUCACUGUCACCUCUGCCUGCAAUGCUGACUGCCAAUCUCAAGUCUGCUUUCUUUCUUGACAUUGCUUUCAUUGUAAUUACUACAUAUAUAAGCAUAUCAGCUGCCAAUGAGCUGCCACUGAACCAUGGACCCUCUCACUUACGUGAAGAAAUGCCCGAACAGUCAAGUCAUGCUCAAGAGGCUUUCUUCUGGCAGUCAAAUCAAGUCAUGCUCAAGUCAUGUUUGGAACUUUUAGAUAUCUCUCAGGUCCUGUUUGGGUUAUCCUUCUUGUUACUGCUUUGACUUGGUUUGGCUGGUUUCCAUUUCUUCUCUUUGAUACUGAUUGGAUGGGUCGGGAAAUUUAUGGUGGCAAGCCAAAUGAAGGACAUAAUUAUAAUAGGGGAGUCAGAAUUGGUGCAUUUGAUCUGAUGUUGAAUUCAGGGGUUCUGGGAAUAACUUCUGAGUUCAUGGAGAAGAUGUGCCGGAAGUAGGGGGCUGGUGUUGUAUGGGGCAUUUCAAACAUCCUUAUGUCUCUGUGCUUUGUAUCAAUGCUUAUACUUUCUCACAUAGCAAACAAUUUGCAUAAAGCACACGAUGAUCUACCUCCAGAUGGUAUUGUAGCUGCUGUACUAGUAGUUUUUUCAAUUCUUGGCAUUACUUUGGCAGUAAGUUGCUCUGUUCUCCUCAAGAAGUUUUUUGUCAUCUUCUAGUCAUUGCUCAAAUGAAGUAGAGGACAAGAUGUUUUAAUAGAGCUGUCUCCCCUUGUGAAAAUAUGCAUUGCUAACACCUGACCAGUUCAUGCAUGCAAGGUCACUUUGCAUUGAUUUCACCCAUUUUAUCUUAGAUUAUAACAUUAUAUGUCCUAGUGUUACAUAUAAAAAAUGAUGUCUAGUGGUCAUCCUCAAAAUCUCUCUCAAGUCAGAAAAAUGCAAGAUUCAAGGAGAAAAAGUCUAAUGUAGUACAGAGGAAAACCAUACAGUUUGAUUUUGGCUUGGUAGAUUACACCAUGUCAGGUUAGCCCAUGAUAUGGGGUUUGGCGUGCCUGUAUUCAGGCAAUAGUAACUGUUAGGUCACCAAUUGUCCCCAGAACUCAAGUUGUUAGAAAAUGGGCACAACAAUGUAUAUCAAGUUAUUUAACACCCUCUCUCACGUGCAAUCUCGUCUUGCAUGUGGAGAUGCAAACAUCCAUACAUAAACAAAAGAAAGAAUGCAAACGGAGAACUUGAACCUAAUAGCCCCCCUAACCUAUGCUCUGAUACCAUGUUAAGUCACUGAUUGUUCCAAAUGCUUAAGUUGUUUGGAAAUAGGCCCAACCUUCAACAGUAACAUGGUCACGUGACUCCGAUUUUGACUUAAAGAAGACAAGCAAAAGCAUUUUUAUAGUUUUAAAAUAUUUUUUAAUGACAGUUUUUGAACUUGAUGUUGAUAUAUUCGCUUCAAACAAAUGAACCUUCUCCAACUGUUUCUUUGUCUGAACCAAAGAGAGAGAUCAGAAUGGUGUUGGCAGUGCGGGCAUCCUCAUCCAAAUAUUCUCAGUGGCUUUAUGAUAGAAUUCUGUUUUAACAAUAUUGAUUUGUGUUAUUUGAUACGAUGCUUCGCAGAUCACUUACAGUGUUCCUUAUGCCUUGAUAUCUUCACAUGUUGAGUCUCUAGGACUCGGCCAAGGAUUAUCAAUGGGUGUUCUGAAUGUGGCAAUUGUAAUCCCACAGGUAGUAACUACUUAGACCUUCUUAUUGUGUUCAUAGUAAUGUUGAUUUGUUUCUUUCCUUUUUAGCACGACUAAGUUAAAGUGGCGUGGAAGCGGUAGUUGUUUAGAAGCCUACUUGAUUACCCUCAACUAUUUGAUCAUUAGUCAGAGACUCCAAGAAUAAUAUGUAGUUACUCAUUGGUGACCCUUAAUAUAGUAAUUUACUCUUCAAUACCCACUUGAUGGCAGUGCGUUGCACUUGAAGUCUGGAACAGGUAUGGAGAUUUUUGAAUUGACAUAAUGAUCCUGAUUGAAAUCUUAUAGUUAUACUAAUUGCUUUGGUUUUAGUAGUUAAUUUUGCCAGGCAUUGAUUAAUUAAUUCCAUUACUUUCAGUUGAGGGCAGUUAACUUGAAUGUAUUUGAACAAUGAGAAAGGGUGUGAUCCUCAUAUUCUGGAUGUUAUAGUGUGGAGUAAGAUAAAAGAAAAAGAAUAGUGAUUUUCUUCAAUGGAACAUCUCUACUACAAUUUUAUUUAAAAAUUUUGUUGGUUUUGCGAGCCUCUUUACUGUGUUUUUUAUCAGCAAGUUAUAAAUAUCUAGUAAUCAUACAAAUUCUAGAGGUGCUGCAAAUUUAAAUAAUUGUGCAUGCAUGUGAAAGCGUCUUGUGUGACAUUAGGCAUGAGUUACUUAUUCUUAAUUCCAGUAGAGAUGUGGAAAUUGUCACACUUUAAGCAGGUAUUUUUGUGGCUCUCAUGAAAUUUACACGUAAAAUGAAGUUUUUCAAAUAUCUCAAGAUAUCUAACCAUCAUUAUGGGCAGCUGAUCUCUGCCUCCUUUGUUUCUGUGUAUGAAAUGGAAGACUCCUCAUGCAAUACAAGUAUUGUCCUUCGAAGCCUUGUUCUGUGUUAUGCAUCCAAUAAAGGAUCACUUUUUCUGUGUCUUUCUCUUGCAAAUCUUCUUUUUGUUUUAUAAUGAAGAACUUAAUUUUUUAUUCUUUCAUUUGAGAUGGUGUUUACCUAUACCAGAAAUAAGGUGUUCUUUAAAGCAGUGGCAAAAAUAUCAUGACAACCAAUCAGCUAAACUUCCGGACAUCCACUGAUUUAUUUUUGGAAUUUGAGUGGAAUUGAAUAAUGUUCAAUUACUUAUUUAUUUAUUUAUUAUAAUUUUAAAGUGCAAACCCAUGCCUUUAAAAGAUUAUUAUUAUUUUACUUUUAACUGUAUCCGUAAGAAAAUUAUUUGAAUGCAUAUCAUUGAUCACCUUCUUUACUAACUAAUGCACUCUCGGAGAGCUAUUGCUGUGUAGUUCUCUAGGACCGUAUAUUUGUGAAGAAAGUUUGUGGAACAUGUGUUAAUUUUAUCAACAACAACUACAAUAAUAAUAAUAAUAAUUAUAGUAAUUUUUGCCUUCUCUAGCAACCCACCAAAAGUACAUUGAGGCAACCUUAACAUUAUGCUUGGGCAAUUGUAGAAUGGGAUGUUUUUGUUAUCUCUUAAAAUAGUGGAUUCACAAUAAAUGUGCAAUUCAAUCGACUCUAGCUAUAGUAAAGUGCAUUCUUUUUUAAUUUGUCUUAGUAGGUUUUCUUUAUACUUCUAAUAUGUUCAGCUUUUGUUUAUUGUUGGUGCUUCCUGUUAAACGAUUCUACUAAUUGGUUUAAGUGCAAAUGAAGAUUUCUUGGAGGAAAAACAUUGAAUAGCAUGUAACUCAAGUGUUCCUGUUUUUAGCUAUUUAGGUGAUGAUAGUUUGGUGUUUGAGAACAAAUUGUGGUGUCUCGUGGAAGUGGACCAUGGGAUCAGCUAUUUGGUGCUGGUAACUCACCAUCUUUGGCUGUGGCAGCAGUUGCAGCCUUUACUAGUGGGCUUAUAGCCAUCUUGGCUAUUCCACGAGCUGGAGCUGAUAAGUCCAGGGGCCAGUAAUGAGGUAAUCUGUUGUAUCCUACAUUACAUGGACUCAGUUAUGGGCAAAAAAUGCAAGUAAUUGUCCGAGUGGCGGAUUUAUCCAAUUCCCAUAUCUAAGGAGACGGGGAUAUGACAUAUUUAUGCUUCUUAAUAUUCUUUUAUUUUAUAGGAUAAAAUGGUGUUUACAAGGUCACAUAAAACAUUUCUUGCAUAAUGUGAGAGUUUUAAGUUAUAUGGAAAACUCGAAUGGUUGGACAGGCUUGUUGAAUGAAUGUCCAACUGCACGUCAGAGAUAUCCCAUACCGGGUAAGUGUCAAAUGUCCAAUAUGGCUACUUCACACAUUUAGAAAAGUACAUGUAACAUAGGUUGUAUUGUAUAUAUCUUGCAUUUUGUACAUAGCUUUGGGUAGAUUUAUAUUGAUUUCCAUUGUAUGGCUUUUUUUUUCUUUUUUUUUUAUAUUGCUUCAUUUUUUUUUUUUUUGGUCUGCAUUGCGUCAUUCAACCUACUAAAGUUAGUGGAUAUAAUGUCUAUUUUCUGGUUUAGUUAUUUAAAUUGCAUCCAAUAUAAGCUAUACUCCAUGUGACAGAUAAAGAUUGGAGUUCAGAAAUAAAGCAACAACAUCGAUAAAAACUUUGUUGUGUUAGGUGAAACAAAAAUGUCUCAUUUAUAGGUGUGGUAUGUACUUGUGUCACCUAUUGCUGGACAGUGGAUUUGAGUUCCACUACUUUUAAAGCAACAACAGUUCAAUUAUCUGUGUGACCUAAAUGACUCAUGUAUGGAUAUUUUAGAUGUGUUCAUAAUAUUUGUCAUUGCAUACUUUCCCGAGAGAAGUAUCCAAUUGAGGUAUAAAGAGAGGUUUAUACCUUUUAUGCCCAAAAUUGCAACUCUUCAAGUGAUGAUCUAACUGCUGUGGUGAAUGCUGUGUGGAAGAAGUUAUCUGUACUUUGUGGAGAAUUUUCUUUAAUGAAGAACGAACCCAUCUAGAAUUUUUGCUUUACGGUGGCUGAUCACCAUCUAGAAGAAAAUGAAAGCCUCAACCAUGGAUUUUAUGUGGGAUUGCUCUCUAUAAUUCCGUUCCAUACCAAGAUAAGUUGCUGUUGAUCGUGAUUUGUUCCUCGUGCAAUAGUAUGGUCCCUUUCUUCUAGGAAUGCUGAUAGCCCAUUGAUGGUUCAGUUGUUGAUGUUGUGGAAUCUUAUGCAGAUUGUUUGCAAAUUGUGUUUGGGUAUUUUAAUUGUGCUUGGUGGCCAACAGUUAUAUGUAAACUGUGCAGAUUGAGACCUCCAUGGAUAGAUGUCUCUUUUAUGCUCUGUUUCUUUGGAAAGCUUUUGCUGAUUUUUGGGGAGGAUGCUCUGCUCUGUAUCAUUAUUUUGUAAAUUAUUCUCUUCUUUUUUCCCUCCCUUUUUUUCUUGCUGGCUUUGGAACCUUGGAAUAAAUUCCCCUUUUUAUUGCA